UGGGGAAUAUUGCACAAUGGAGGGAACUCUGAUGCAGCGACGCCGCGUGAACGAAGAAGGCUUUCGAGUCGUAAAGUUCUUUUAUAUGGGAAGAUAAUGACGGUACCAUAAGAAAAAGCCCCGGCUAACUACGUGCCAGCAGCCGCGGUAAUACGUAGGGGGCUAGCGUUGUCCGGAAUCACUGGGCGUAAAGGGUUCGCAGGCGGAAAUGCAAGUCAGGUGUAAAAGACAGUAGCUUAACUACUGUAAGCAUUUGAAACUGCAUAUCUUGAGAAGAGUAGAGGUAAGUGGAAUUUUUAGUGUAGCGGUGAAAUGCGUAGAUAUUAAAAAGAAUACCGGUGGCGAAGGCGACUUACUGGGCUCAUUCUGACGCUGAGGAACGAAAGCGUGGGUAGCAAACAGG
rnacentral:rRNA from 1 species